UACGUAGGGUGCAAGCGUUUAAUCGGAAUUACUGGGCGUAAAGCGUGCGCAGGCGGUUUUGUAAGUCUGACGUGAAAUCCCCGGGCUCAACCUGGGAAUUGCGUUGGAGACUGCAAGGCUGGAGUCUGGCAGAGGGGGGUGGAAUUCCACGUGUAGCAGUGAAAUGCGUAGAGAUGUGGAGGAACACCGAUGGCGAAGGCAGCCCCCUGGGCUAACACUGACGCUCAUGCACGAAAGCGUGGGGAGCAAACAGG
rnacentral:rRNA from 1 species